CCCCCACCAUGUGCUUUGCUGUAUGUUCAUAACGAGACAUCCAGAAAAAAUGGUGUGUGCGGUAUUUGAUAAACUGUUUGGCAAGACAGGAAAAUGUGCUAUGCAUUUGACACAGAUUUCCAUCCCAAAUGGUUAAUAUCUUCAGAAAAAAUAUUGACGCUAAAGAGAAAUGGAUUAGCUAAGUGGCUCUGGCUCAGGGACUCUCAGGAGACUUCAGUCAAGAUGUCAGCUGAGUCUACAGUCAUCUGAAGGCUUGACUGGGGCUGGAGAAUCUGCUUCCAAGAUGGUGCACUCACAUGGCUGGAAUGUCGGUGCCUCAGUUCCUCUCCAGUGGGACUCUCCAAAGGGCUGCUUGAGUGUCCUCACAACACGGCAGCUGGCUUCUCCCAGAACAAGUGAUCCAAGAGGGCAAGGCAGAAGCAGCAAUGUUUCUUAUGACCUAGCACAGGAAGUCACAUAUUAUCAGUUAUGCCUUAUUUUAUUAGUCACAUCAUUCAAUCCUGAUAUGCUGUGGCAAAGGACUGCACAAGGGUGUGAAUACCAGGAGGAGCACUGGGAGCCAUCUUGGAGACUGGUUGCCACAAAUUAUUAACAUAAAUUGCAGACGAAUUAUUUAACAAGAGGGAAUUGGAUUAAAUACCUCUCUAUUCUGGCAAUCAACAUCUGACUACUACCAUUAUUUAAAAAAUUCCAAAUGAGUAAAGCCAAAUUAAGAAUUUGAGCUCUUUCAGGGGGAAAGAUUUAUGAUCAACGUCAAGAUGGAUCAUUAGCACAGGACUAUGGAAGGCCAUGUAUAAUGUGCUUG
rnacentral:lncRNA from 1 species